rnacentral:snRNA from 1 species
AUCACUUCUUGGCCUUUUAGCUAAGAUCAAGUGUAUUAUCUGUUCUUGUCAGUUUAAUACAAUAGUUAAUGCAUUCUGUAAUGUAAAAUAAUUUCAGUUCAUGUUAUCUCUAGUGCUGUACAAUUU